rnacentral:pre_miRNA from 1 species
GGGGGGAGGCCGGAUCCUGGGCUGUGUCCCGGCGCCUGCGCUGUUGGAUUCGCUCCCGGCCGCGCAGCCCCCU